rnacentral:misc_RNA from 1 species
UGUCGGAAGGAUACUGACACGGAACAGGAACUAGCCAAGGAUUUGGUAAGCUUCAGGAUGAAGCAUUCGGUUAUUUAGGAUGAAUAAUCGGCAAGGAAAGCAAAGGACAUUGAACGGACGCAAUAGUAACUAGGAUGGUUGCUACUAAGGAAGACAAUGGAUACCUCUAGGAUAGAGGAAGGACUGAACAUCAGGAUGAUGUAAGGGACACCGCUCACGGAACAAGUGAAGAGAGUUAACGACGGACUGUUAACGGAUCAGGAUAAGAUCAAGGACACCGCUAGGACGGCGACGAACGGAAUAAGCUGAAGGAAUCAGCAUACUAUCAUGGAUUUGAUGCAUGGAGCACCACUUAGUAGCCGGACUGCUGCGAGUAGAGUUAUAACCCCAUUAAGCGAGAGCUUGGUGGGGUUUUU